GCCGGCUUAGCUUUAAUUGGCAGAGCACCUGACUUGUAAUCAGGGGGUUAUAAGUUCGAAUCUUAUAGCCGGCA
rnacentral:tRNA from 1 species